GCAAUUUCUUAAAAAAUGAGCAACUUUUCUAGAACCCCAACCGGCACAAUUCGAGGACCCUCACACAGCCGUAAGCAGCAGCCUCACACACACUCUCAGGGAAGCAAAAUCCGAUUGGCUUCCAAGUGAAGCUUGCAAAACCUAACCCAUGAACUUCUCCAACUACGUCCAAAAGAUAUUGCGAUCUCCUACAGGCAUUGCUGUUGGCAGAAUGCUCUCUCCUUGAAGAAGGAAUACAUAUACAAAAAUGCCAAGGAGAACGACGUUGUUUCUAAAGUUGUUGAUAAACCAAUGAACAACUGGAGUACUCGAUUUGGAACUGGGGAUUAGUCAAUGGAUGGCAAAUACUCAGAAGAAAUGUCCACCAGGGAGUUGUCUUUUCGGCUUUCUGUUAUUGAUAAAAGGGGUUUGAGCUGCAAGCCUAUUGAAAAGCACUUUAUCAUAAAACCUGAUAUAUUUGUAAAAAUUAUGCUAGAUUGGACAAACAAGGAACGUGAAUUAUAUGAUGCCAGCUACCUCAAGGAUCUCCCAGAGGUUUGCAUGACUGGGUUCACUAUGAAGAGAACCAGGUAGGAAGUAAUUCGCAUUCGGAAACGCUAGAUUGGGUGGUAUCAGUUCCUUUCUAAGCCAAGAGGGUUAUCAGUGUUUCAUCAUCAGAGGAGGAAAUGAGGAAACGAAGGUUCUAGGAGCUUCAAAUUUCAACAGGAUCUCUUUUUCCUAUUCAAGUGAAGAAAGUAGGCGAUUUUUUUGGUUUUGGAGAGUAGUAUUCUCGCACAAAUUUCAAAAGCAAAUGGAUACCCAUUCUUGUUCAAGAACAUGGCAUUCGAGGAGGAGGAUCCUAGCCUUGCUGCAUUGAAGGAAGAGAAUGAUCUACUGCAACUACAGCCUCAGCCACUUUCAUUCACACCUAGUAUUUGCUGGGACAACAUGAAUGUGAAGCAUCAUCAGACACCAUGGGGAAAUCGGAGAUGACUACACACAGUUUUAUGUGUGAUAGAAAGACUGCUCAACCUGAUGAAGAUGCUCUCAUGUUUCUUAAUGAAGGCACGUUUAUGUCUGUCAUGGGGUGUGAAAGAUGAUGUUGCACUUAAAUAUUGCACUAACAAGCUGAGUCAUGCUCCAAUUUGUGAGUUCUUCCAUGAUAGCGGAUUGGUGCUUUUAUGUAGAUGGAAUUGUAUGUUGGGUUGGGUUUCCCUCCUAAGUGAGGAUGACCCAAACUUACCCAAAACGGGACCAUGUGUGGAGAGGCCCAUUUGGGAGAACAGGGUUAAACCUUAUCCUUUGCUGCUGCAAAGAGUGGUGAAUGAGCAAACAGAAAAUAAGAAAAAAAGAAGAAGGGAGAACCGCAGCCGCACAGAGAGAGAGCGCUGUCCAGUUUUGAUCAGUUGCUCCGAUCAACGAGCAUUCGUGGUCCGAUUGAGCUGAAAAUUUACAGGGAUGUUCAUGACACGUGAAUCUUCAUUGUGAACGGUGGAGAUUGGAUUCUGAGCAUUCGGUAUCGGUUUUCAGCCCGUGAACAGUAGCCUCGGUUUUCCCCGCCACCACAUAGAGAGAAAACUGUCCAGUUUUGAUCAACUGCUCCGAUCAAUGAGCAUUCGUGGUUUGAUUGAGCUGAAAAUUUAUAGGGAUGUUCAUGACACAUGAUUCUUCAUUGUGAAUGGUGGAGAUUGGAUUCUGAGCAUUUGUUAUUGUUGUUUUCACCCCAUGAACAGUAGCCUCUGUUUUGGUGAGAUCUUUCUUUAAUUCUUGUAGAAGUUAAUUUAUGCUAAGGAAUUCUAUUUCUUAAAGAUAGUUUCUGAUUGUAUGCCUCUAGUUGAGACUAGAAAAGACUCAUAUAUUCCCGUAAUUGUUGAUAGUGGAAUUGUUUGAGUGGACUACGGCCCUGUGGUUUUUCCUUCUCACAUUGAGAAAAUUUUCCACGUAAAAAUCGUGUGUCUUGUGCUUGUGGUGUUUGGAUAUAUAUUUUCCGCAUAUAUAUUGCUCUAUUUUAUAA